rnacentral:piRNA from 1 species
GACUUGAUGAACGAGGGUUCUCCAGCCUCU